CUGUCUGUCUCUGGGUUGGUGGCUGCUCUCGCCAUCUCUCUGAUCAUUCUACUGGUCCUGUUCUGCAAGAAGAGGAACAAACAUGUAGCAGCUGAACCCAGAGAUGUUACCUAUGCUGACGUCAGAAUCACACAGGACCCAGAACCCAGGAGAAGGAGAGAGAAGUCUCCAGGAGCUGAUCCAGUCUACUCUGCAGUGAAGACCUCCAACACCACAGUGACCCUGUUCAUCAGAACGUCAUGGUGGGUGGAAAAAGAUGCUCUCUUCAGCAGCGGUGAAUAACCACAACCCUAUCAGUCCAUCUCUUUACUUCCCCGUUCUCUAAUCUUCUCUCUCCCCCCUUCCUUGUUCACACCAACACACUCUCUUUAGACGCUGCAGCCUUGACCUCCAUCAACAGUAUCAGCAACAGAGAGGUGUGAAGUUUCCAC
rnacentral:lncRNA from 1 species